UACGUAGGGGGCAAGCGUUGUCCGGAUUUAUUGGGCGUAAAGAGCGUGUAGGCGGCUUUACAGGUCCGUUGUGAAAACUCGAGGCUCAACCGUGGAAGUGCAUUCGAAACUGCAGGGCUAGAGUCCUGGAGAGGAAGGUGGAAUGCUUGGUGUAGAGGUGAAAUUCGUAGAUAUCAAGCGGAACACCGGUGGCGAAGGCGGCCUUCUGGACAGUGACUGACGCUGAGACGCGAAAGCGUGGGGAGCAAACAGG
rnacentral:rRNA from 1 species